AUUGAACGCUGGCGGCAGGCCUAACACAUGCAAGUCGAGCGGUAACACGGGGAGCUUGCUCCUGGGUGACGAGCGGCGGACGGGUGAGUAAUGUCUGGGAAACUGCCUGAUGGAGGGGGAUAACUACUGGAAACGGUAGCUAAUACCGCAUAACGUCGCAAGACCAAAGAGGGGGACCUUCGGGCAUCUUGCCAUCAGAUGUGCCCAGAUGGGAUUAGCUAGUAGGUGGGGUAACGGCUCACCUAGGCGACGAUCCCUAGCUGGUCUGAGAGGAUGACCAGCCACACUGAAACUGAGACACGGUCCAGACUCCUACGGGAGGCAGCAGUGGGGAAUAUUGCACAAUGGGCGCAAGCCUGAUGCAGCCAUGCCGCGUGUAUGAAGAAGGCCUUCGGGUUGUAAAGUACUUUCAGCGGGGAGGAAGGCGUUGUGGUUAAUAACCACAGCGAUUGACGUUACCCGCAGAAGAAGCACCGGCUAACUCCGUGCCAGCAGCCGCGGUAA
rnacentral:rRNA from 1 species